rnacentral:rRNA from 1 species
AUCCGGAGGGUGCGAGCGUUAAUCGGAAUUACUGGGCGUAAAGCGUACGUAGGCGGUUGGUUAAGUUAGAUGUGAAAGCCCCGGGCUUAACCUGGGAACUGCAUUUAAAACUGGCGAACUAGAGUUGAGUAGAGGGGAGUGGAAUUUCAGGUGUAGCGGUGAAAUGCGUAGAGAUCUGAAGGAACACCAGUGGCGAAGGCGACUCCCUGGACUCGAACUGACGCUGAGGUACGAAAGCGUGGGUAGCAAACGGGAUUAGAUACCCUAGUAGUCC